AGUGAACGCUGGCGGUAGGCCUAACACAUGCAAGUCGAACGGCAGCACAGUAAGAGCUUGCUCUUACGGGUGGCGAGUGGCGGACGGGUGAGGAAUACAUCGGAAUCUACUUUUUCGUGGGGGAUAACGUAGGGAAACUUACGCUAAUACCGCAUACGACCUACGGGUGAAAGCAGGGGAUCUUCGGACCUUGCGCGAUUGAAUGAGCCGAUGUCGGAUUAGCUAGUUGGCGGGGUAAAGGCCCACCAAGGCGACGAUCCGUAGCUGGUCUGGGAGGAUGAUCAGCCACGCUGGAACUGAGACACGGUCCAGACUCCUACGGGAGGCAGCAGUGGGGAAUAUUGGACAAUGGGCGCAAGCCUGAUCCAGCCAUACCGCGUGGGUGAAGAAGGCCUUCGGGUUGUAAAGCCCUUUUGUUGGGAAAGAAAAGCAGCAGGUUAAUACCCCGCUGUUCUGACGGUACCCAAAGAAUAAGCACCGGCUAACUUCGUG
rnacentral:rRNA from 1 species